AACUGAAAAAAAGGCACACCGCGCUGAAUGCUACAUCCGUCCUGCGACGGUACACCGCCUCCGCACCACCGUUUAAACAUGAAGUGUGGAUGUUAGAAGAUCCCAAAUAUGGAAAUAGUCAGGACCCAGAUGAACCUGUGCUGGAAUUCAGUGUGGGCUAGGGCCUAUUAUAUGCUGUAGCCUGAAGGCAGCUGAGUUGCAGAGGAUGGAGUGAUCACUGGCUUUCUACUUACAGGGUGGUGGGUCUCAGAGGACAAUUGCUACCCCUGUUGAAGUGAACAACGUGUGGAGUGCAACUGGCUUUGUGGCAUAGCUGGCUCUGGCCUUGGACUGUGUGUUUUUACUUUGUACCUAAAUGGGACACUGGACUUGUAACUAUUAUUCAUUGUGUUUAUAAAUAAAAUUUUAGAAUUUUA